rfam:Ipomoea nil DNA, scaffold: scaffold1361, cultivar: Tokyo-kokei standard.
GGCCUAUUAGCUUAGUUGGUUUGAGCGUCGUGUUAAUAAUGCGAAGGUCACAGGUUCAAGACUUGUAUGGGCCA